CCUACGGGGUGCAGCAGUGAGGAAUAUUGGUCAAUGGUCGGGAGACUGAACCAGCCAAGCCGCGUGAGGGAUGAAGGUACAGAGUAUCGUAAACCUCUUUUGUCAGGGAACAAAGGCGGGGACGUGUCCCCGGAUGAGUGUACCUGAAGAAAAAGCAUCGGCUAACUCCGUGCCAGCAGCCGCGGUAAUACGGAGGAUGCGAGCGUUAUCCGGAUUGAGUGGGUUUAAAGGGUGCGCUGGCGGUCUGUUAAGUCAGAGGUCAAAGCCCGGGGCUCAACCCCGGCCCGCCGUUGAAACUGGCAGUCUAGAGUUGGAGAGAAGUAUGCGGAAUGCGCGGUGUAGCGGUGAAAUGCAUAGAUAUCGCGCAGAACUCCGAUUGCGAAGGCAGCAUGCCGGCUCCACACUGACGCUGAGGCACGAAAGCGUGGGUAUCGAACAGGAUUAGAUACCCCGGUAGUC
rnacentral:rRNA from 1 species